UUUAUAAUAAACAGCAGCUGCACUUUCCACGAGUUGUUUGACAAUCAGCUGCACGCGACUGUGGUUAGUUGCGCAACACGUAUGUAUCAACGAAUCGUCCGUGAACCUUCAUCUUGAACGCUGAUGAAUAUCAAGAGAAAACAAUUCAAUUCGUCACCGCGAGAUAAACGAAAGAAGAAGACGUUCUCUUAUCGUUACCUAUACGAUGAGUUCUUAUCGAUGCACGGUGCAAUGCAUUUGAAGAAGUCUAUGUCACUGGCUCGUACAGAGUACCUACUAUCACUCGUGAUUCAACGAGGGAAAGCUUGACAGAGCAACGUACUCGUUGGUGUUCGACUACGUGCUCACUAUAAAGUUAGCUCGUAAGGACAAGAGUUACGAGAGAAAAAGAGAUUAAGAAACAGAGCGAGUGAGAGAGAAUCGCGGUCCACUUAAAAGAACGUUCUCAAGCACGAAAUACUAUUCGAUCAAAGAAGCCACGAAGAAAAAGAAGAGGAAGACACUUGCCGAAGAACUUUCAAUGUCUUUCCACUUCGUUUCAUCUAAUCGUAUUUAGCCGAGUGGAACCUCGAUUAUCGGUUAUCUCUCAACGAAAUUUCACCAUGCAUCCCUAUCUCUUUCUUUCUUUUUAUUCUUUUUCUCUCGGACGAUUCGAUAACAUUUCAUGAAAUAAAUGGUCUAAGGAUAAUCGAUUCGAGGUAAUACAGAAUGUCUAUGGAAAACAAAACAAAAAGAAAAAAAAAUUAAGUAGAAAUGUAAAGAAAGAGAAAGAGAAAGAGAAAGAGAAGGAGAAGAAGAAGAAGAAGAAAGGGAAAGAUAGAGACACAAUGUUAGUUUUAAUCGCAUUGGGUGCAACGAGAUAUAAACGAGAACACGGAGAACGUUUGUGAUAAAAGAUAAACAAUGAGCGUGCGGCAUUUUUCGAAAUUUUCACUCGUAACUUUCGUGCCACGUAUCUCGCCAUUUUCACACGCAGUGCGCUGCUUCAACUCGAUAUUUCCGAUAUAUAUUUACGCAGCAGACCGAUGGAGAAGAGAAAAAUAUACGUUCCCCAUUUAAGGUUGAGUGACCUCGAAAGAAAGAAAGAAAGAAAAAAAAAAAAGGAAUAAAAGGAUCCCUCGUACCGUCGAUCUCUUCGAAUUCCGACUACUAUUGAACUCUAAAAAUGUAUCUUCAUAUCGUUUAUCAACGAGAAUUUCUUCCUAUAUUUCUUUCUUUCUCAUUCCAAAGAAGCUUCGCGACGUCGCGAGAUAUAUUCAUCGAACAAACUUCGAUAAGACAUCCACGGAAGUAGAGACAACUUCGAUGAACCAGAUAGAAACGGAUGACUCAUGGAAAUCCAACAAAUCUCCCUCUCGACGAUACGCACUCCAAAUAUACUAACCGGCGUCGUUUCGACGCCGGAGACUCGACGUUCAAAACUCUCUAUGGGAACAAAAAAAAGGAUAUUGAUCUCUUUGUUAAGGCUGUAAACGAAUUUUUUGUUUCUUUUAAAAAUGAACAAAGUACAAAACAUUACAAGAACUCUUUUCUUCCCGAAAAAAAAAGAAAGAAAAAAAGAAAUCAUUAUUGACGUCUAAACUUUAAAUUUCUCGAUAGUACGAACAAAAACCUUUUACUUUUCUCGUUUAUCAACGAUACAUCAUCCAUCCACCAAGAAGACAGUACAAGUAAAAAAACAAAUAAACAAAUAUCUAAGCCGAAUUUUGUAUGAAAAAACGCACGAGAAAUAUU